UUCUCUUAACCACGGACCUAACACAUUGCCCACACUACCCUGGGGUCACAGGAGUGUCACAGGGAAGAGUAUAAAUACAAGGAAUAUCCCAUCAUUGUUACUGUGUUGUGAUUUGUCUACUUCUGAGUACAGCCCACAAUGCGUUUGUUCCUUGUCCUCCUGCUUGUGGCCACAGUGAUGGUGUCAGAGUCUGAUGCCUGGAGAUUCAGACGUAUUCGAUGGCGAAGAGUUGGCAGAAUAGCUGGGAAAGUAGCAAUUGGGUUGUUGGGCAAACGUGAUGUGGCAAGCCUUGAUACAAACAUGGAUGGAACAAUUGACCAAUCAGAAGCUGAGACGAUAAUGGACAGACGAUCGGCCACGGAGCUGCUCUCUUUUGCAGAUGAAAAUGGAGACACAAGCGUGAGUUUGGAAGAGUUCGCCAGGAGCAUCGAGAACAUUGAGGAAUGAAUUGAGAUAACCCGAUUGUAGAGAGAGUGGCACUACAACAUUGAAGAUGAUCUCGUAAAUGAUUCUGAAUAAUUUCCUUCCAAGUGUAUGAUUUCAAUAAAUCAUCAUAACCAUCAA